GAUGAACGCUGGCGGCGUGCCUAAUACAUGCAAGUCGAGCGAACGGACGAGAAGAUUGCUUCUCUGAUGUUAGCGGCGGACGGGUGAGUAACACGUGGAUAACCUACCUAUAAGACUGGGAUAAUUUCGGGAAAACGGAGCUAAUACCGGAUCAUACUAUGUACCGCAUGGUUCAAAAGUGCAUGACGGUCUUGCUGUCUCUUAUAGAUGGAUCCGCGCUGCAUUAGCUAGUUGGUAAGGUAACGGCCUACCAAGGCAACGAUGCAUAGCCGACCUGAGAGGAUGAUCAGCCACACUGGAACUGAGACACGGUCCAGACUCCUACGGGAGGCAGCAGUAGGGAAUAUUCCGCAAUGGGCGCAAGCCUGACGGAGCAACGCCGCGUGAGUGAUGAAGGUCUUCGGGUCGUAAAGCUCUUUUAUUAGGGAAGAACAUAUGUAUAAGAAACUCUGCACGUCCUGACGGUACCUAAUCAGAAAGCCACGGCUAACUACGUG
rnacentral:rRNA from 1 species